CAGUAGCCGCGGUAACACGAGGGGGGCAAGCGUUGUUCGGAAUUAUUGGGCGUAAAGGGUGCGUAGGCGGCUUGACAAGUCUUGUGUGAAAUCUAUGGGCUCAACCCAUAGUCUGCACGGGAAACUGUCGGGCUUGAGAAUGGGAGAGGUGAGUGGAAUUUCCGGUGUAGCGGUGGAAUGCGUAGAUAUCGGAAGGAACACCUGUGGCGAAAGCGGCUCACUGGACAAUAACUGACGCUGAUGCACGAAAGCUAGGGGAGCAAACAGGAUUAGAUACCCCAGUAGUCCCUGUCUCUUAUAC
rnacentral:rRNA from 1 species